CCUACGGGAGGCAGCAGUGGGGAAUAUUGCACAAUGGGGGAAACCCUGAUGCAGCGACGCCGCGUGAGUGAAGAAGGAUUUCGGGAUGUAAAGCUCUAUCAGCAGGGAAGAAAAUGACGGUACCUGAUUAAGAAGCCCCGGCUAACUACGUGCCAGCAGCCGCGGUACUACGUAGGGGGCAAGCGUUAUCCGGAUUUACUGGGUGUAAAGGGAGCGUAGACGGCAGCGCAAGUCUGGAGUGAAAUCCCGGGGCUUAACCCCGGAACUGCUUUGGAAACUGUGCAGCUGGAGUGCAGGAGAGGUAAGUGGAAUUCCUAGUGUAGCGGUGAAAUGCGUAGAUAUUAGGAGGAACACCAGUGGCGAAGGCGGCUUACUGGACUGUAACUGACGUUGAGGCUCGAAAGCGUGGGGAGCAAACAGGAUUAGAUACCCCGGUAGUC
rnacentral:rRNA from 1 species